AUUGAACGCUGGCGGCAGGCUUAGCACAUGCAAGUCGAGCGGGGUGAUGGUGCUUGCACUAUCACUUAGCGGCGGACGGGUGAGUAAUGCUUAGGAAUCUGCCUAUUAGUGGGGGACAACAUCUCGAAAGGGAUGCUAAUACCGCAUACGUCCUACGGGAGAAAGCAGGGGAUCACUUGUGACCUUGUGCUAAUAGAUGAGCCUAAGUCGGAUUAGCUAGUUGGUGGGGUAAAGGCCUACCAAGGCGACGAUCUGUAGCGGGUCUGAGAGGAUGAUCCGCCACACUGGGACUGAGACACGGCCCAGACUCCUACGGGAGGCAGCAGUGGGGAAUAUUGGACAAUGGGGGGAACCCUGAUCCAGCCAUGCCGCGUGUGUGAAGAAGGCCUUAUGGUUGUAAAGCACUUUAAGCGAGGAGGAGGCUUACCUAGUUAAUACCUGGGAUAAGUGGACGUUACUCGCAGAAUAAGCACCGGCUAACUCUGUGCCAGCCGCCGCUGUAA
rnacentral:rRNA from 1 species